AGAUUGAACGCUGGCGGCAUGCCUUACACAUGCAAGUCGAACGGCAGCGCGGGGCAACCUGGCGGCGAGUGGCGAACGGGUGAGUAAUAUAUCGGAACGUACCCUGGAGUGGGGGAUAACGUAGCGAAAGUUACGCUAAUACCGCAUACGAUCUAAGGAUGAAAGUGGGGGAUUCGCAAGAACCUCAUGCUCCUGGAGCGGCCGAUAUCUGAUUAGCUAGUUGUGGGUAAAGCUACCAAGGCAUCGAUCAGUAGCUGGUCUGAGAGGACGACCAGCCACACUGGAACUGAGACACGGUCCAGACUCCUACGGGAGGCAGCAGUGGGAAUUUUGGACAAUGGGACGUCAAGCCUGAUCAGCAAUGCCGCGUCGAGUGAAGAAGGCCUUCGGUUAGUAAAGCUUCUUUUGUACAGGUAAGAACGGUUGUACUUCUAAUACUAGAUAGGCUAAGUGAACGGUACCUAGAAGAAUAA
rnacentral:rRNA from 1 species